rnacentral:sRNA from 1 species
AUUGAAGCGGCGGUGGCCGGGCUGGGCGCCGGUAGUGGAAAGCGACGGCGCGGCUGGAAAAUGCCAGUCCAUUCCCGAGGGGAUAAGAAGGAGACCAACCAUCAUGAUGAGAUGGAGGUGGACUACGCCGAAAAUGAGGGGAGCAGCUCCGAGGACGAGGACACUGAGAGCUCGUCGGUCUCCGAGGAUGGAGAUAGCUCAGAAAUGGAUGAUGAAGACUGUGAAAGAAGAAGAAUGGAAUGUUUGGAUGAAAUGUCCAAUCUUGAAAAACAGUUUACCGAUCUCAAAGAUCAACUUUAUAAAGAACGAUUAAGUCAGGUGGAUGCAAAACUACAAGAAGUCAUAGCUGGAAAAGCACCAGAAUACUUGGAACCGCUGGCAACUUUACAGGAAAAUAUGCAAAUUCGUACAAAGGUAGCAGGAAUCUAUAGAGAGCUCUGCUUAGAAUCUGUAAAGAACAAAUAUGAAUGUGAAAUUCAAGCUUCUCGCCAGCAUUGUGAGAGUGAAAAGCUGUUGCUAUAUGAUACAGUCCAGAGUGAACUAGAGGAGAAGAUAAGAAGGCUUGAAGAGGAUAGGCACAGCAUUGAUAUUACCUCAGAGCUGUGGAAUGAUGAGCUUCAGUCAAGAAAAAAGAGGAAAGAUCCUUUCAGUCCUGACAAAAAGAAGCCAGUUGUUGUUUCAGGUCCAUAUAUAGUUUAUAUGCUACAAGAUCUUGAUAUUCUUGAAGACUGGACAACAAUUAGGAAGGCAAUGGCUACAUUGGGGCCACACAGAGUGAAAACGGAACGUAAGUCAUUUAGUCUGAGUUGGGAAAUAUUCUCUUUGGAGACUUGUUGAAUCAGGGUUGUUAAAUCAUCUACGUACUAAAGAACUCUCGAAUCAGUGGUUUUAUUUCAUCAGUGAACACCGUGCCUGAAAUUAUGAGGAAUUCUUCUGGAAUCAUUGCUUCACGUAAAAGUUUCAAAAUUUCUGAAUGUGGUAUAAUUCUUUCAGUGUUCAGCUACAUUCUUAUUGCUAAUAAUGGAUCAGUAACUCAAAAAAGUAUUUAUGCAGUGUUUUUUAUGGGCUCUGUCAUUCUAUAG